rnacentral:rRNA from 1 species
GCACAAGCAGUGGAGUAUGUGGUUUAAUUCGACGCAACGCGAAGAACCUUACCAAGUCUUGACAUCCUGCGACGAUGCUGGAAACAGUAUUUUCCUUCGGGACGCAGAGACAGGUGGUGCAUGGUUGUCGUCAGCUCGUGUCGUGAGAUGUUGGGUUAAGUCCCGCAACGAGCGCAACCCUUAUUGCCAGUUACUACGCAAGAGGACUCUGGCGAGACUGCCGUUGAUAAAA